UUGAGGGGCUUUGAUUUUUUAUGUCAUUCCGCCUCUGCCUCUCUCAGUGAGUCUCUCUCACUCUCAACCUCCUCUCCCCAAAUCCGCUGCCAACUUCUUCCAGAUUUCUCUAUCGCUCUCUCAGAGCUGCUCUCUCGCUCUCUCCCAAAUUUGCAAAACCUGGUUGUAUGACAUUCUGACCAGUUUGAAAAAGAUGAGCUUAAACGGAACUCUGCAAUAGAAAAUUGGUCAGUUUUCCGUGUUGCUGAUGAUGACAAGCGUUCACAAAGUAAUUGCUGGAGUCUUUCCCCCCAGGCAAUUUAAUUUCACCGUGUCCUGUGAUUUAGGAUACAAGGGAACUUUAAAAUUUUCAUUUAUAGAUGCUGGACUGGAAUUGCUCUUUUUAUAGGUGGAUUUUAAAUUAAUCUUUUUGGUCAAAUAUGAUGUAGGUUCUCUUU